CAGCUACAUCCCGUUGAAAAAUCCGGUUCCCGUACGAUCACCGAAGUUAAGCAACACAGAGAGUGGUCAGUACCUAGAUGAGUAACCGCCUGGGAAUACUAGCUGCUGCAUG